rnacentral:rRNA from 1 species
CCUACGGGUGGCAGCAGUGAGGAAUAUUGGUCAAUGGACGAGAGUCUGAACCAGCCAAGUAGCGUGAAGGAUGACUGCCCUAUGGGUUGUAAACUUCUUUUAUAUGGGAAUAAAAUGUUCCACGUGUGGGAUUUUGUAUGUACCAUAUGACUAAGGAUCGGCUAACUCCGUGCCAGCAGCCGCGGUAAUACGGAGGAUCCGAGCGUUAUCCGGAUUUAUUGGGUUUAAGGGGAGCGUAGGUGGAUUGUUAAGUCAGUUGUGAAAGUUUGCGGCUCAACCGUAAAAUUGCAGUUGAAACUGGCAGUCUUGAGUACAGUAGAGGUGGGCGGAAUUCGUGGUGUAGCGGUGAAAUGCUUAGAUAUCACGAAGAACUCCGAUUGCGAAGGCAGUUCACUGGACUGCAACUGACACUGAGGCUCGAAAGUGUGGGUAUCAAACAGGAUUAGAUACCCUUGUAGUC